rnacentral:rRNA from 1 species
GGGGAAUUUUCCGCAAUGGGCGAAAGCCUGACGGAGCAAUACCGCGUGAGGGAGGACGGCUUUUGGGUUGUAAACCUCUUUUAUCAGGGAAGAAACAAAUGACGGUACCUGAUGAAUCAGCAUCGGCUAACUCCGUGCCAGCAGCCGCGGUAAUACGGAGGAUGCAAGCGUUAACCGGAAUUAUUGGGCGUAAAGCGUCCGUAGGUGGUUUUUCAAGUCUGCUGUCAAAGCGUGGAGCUUAACUCCAUAACGGCAGUGGAAACUGGGAGACUAGAGUGCGAUAGGGGUAACGGGAAUUCCCAGUGUAGCGGUGAAAUGCGUAGAGAUUGGGAAGAACACCAGCGGCGAAAGCGCGUUACUGGGUCUGCACUGACACUGAGGAACGAAAGCUAGGGGAGCGAAAGGGAUUAGAUACCCCUGUAGUCCUAGCUGUAAACGAUGGAUACUAGGUGUGGUUCGUAUCGACCCGAGCCGUGCCGGAGCUAACGCGUUAAGUAUCCCGCCUGGGGAGUACGCACGCAAGUGUGAAACUCAAAGGAAUUGACGGGGGCCCGCACAAGCGGUGGAGUAUGUGGUUUAAUUCGAUGCAACGCGAAGAACCUUACCAAGGCUUGACAUGUCGCGAACCUUCCUGAAAGGGGAGGGUGCCUUCGGGAGCGCGAACACAGGUGGUGCAUGGCUGUCGUCGGCUCGUGUCGUGAGAUGUUGGGUUAAGUCCCGCAACGAGCGCAACCCACGUUUUUAGUUGCCAGCAUUGAGUUGGGCACUCUAGAGAGACUGCCGGUGACAAACCGGAGGAAGGKGUGGAUGACGUCAAGUCAGCAUGCCCCAUACGCCUUGGGCUACACACGUACUACAAUGCUACGGACAGAGGGACGCCAGCCCGCGAGGGUGAGCAAAUCUCGUAAACCGUGGCUCAGUUCAGAUUGCAGGCUGCAACUCGCCUGCAUGAAGGCGGAAUCGCUAGUAAUCGCCGGUCAGCAUACGGCGGUGAAUACGUUCCCGGGCCUUGUACACACCGCCCGUCACACCAUGGGAGUUGGUCAUGCCCGAAGUCGUUACUCCAACCAUUCGUGGAGGGGGACGCCGAAGGUGGGGCUGAUGACUGGGGUGAAGUCGUAACAAGGUAGCCGUACCGGAAGGUGUGGCUGGAUCACCUCCUU